AGAAGGAGGACAUCGAACAUCGAAAUGCGAGAAAGCAUCGUUGUAAGCUUGACGGUGUAGAUUCUCGGAUUCGAGAAUCACGCCGUCGCAAUCGAAAAUCAGAGCUUCUAGAGAACGUAAAGGCAAUGCCGAGACAGGAGAAGAAACUCUAGAUUUCGAAUAAACGCUUCUUGAUUUGAAACGCAGCGUUUGGAAACGAGGAAAGCCGAUGAGCGACGAGGAAGAAGUAACGGAGGAGGAACCAGCGGUGGAUGAUGGAGAGAAGAGAAUCGCAGAGUGGUUGCAAGAAACCGCCAUAUCGAUGAAUCUCUGUCUCUCUCUGGGUGUGUGUG